GUAGGUGGCAAGCGUUGUCCGGAAUUAUUGGGCGUAAAGCGCGCGCAGGCGGUUCGUUUAAGUCUGAUGUGAAAGCCCACGGGCUCAACCGUGGAGGGUCAUUGGAAACUGGAGAACUUGAGUACAGAAGAGGAAAGCGGAAUUCCACGUGUAGCGGUGAAGUGCGUAGAGAUGUGGAGGAACACCAGUGGCGAAGGCGGCUUUCUGGUCUGUAACUGACGCUGAGGCGCGAAAGCGUGGGGAGCAAACAGGAUUAGAUACCCUGGUAGUCCACGCCGUAAACGAUGAGUGCUAAGUGUUAGGGGGUUUCCGCCCCUUAGUGCUGCAGCUAACGCAUUAAGCACUCCGCCUGGGGAGUACGGCCGCAAGGCUG
rnacentral:rRNA from 1 species